CUUGUGAUCCGCCUGCCUCAGCCUCCCAAAGUGCUGGAAUUACAGGCGUGAGCCACCGUGCCCAGCUACAUUAUUUUUUUUGGUUUAGAAAUAUGUAGAAUGUAUGUAAUGUGGAAUAACAACAAAGACAUGUCAGCUAGUCUUAAUUUAGUGAACACAAUAGAGAAUUGCAUCUCACCAGACAUGUAUUGACUUAACUAAAGGUUUAAGACUUCACAGACACAGGAGGAGGAUGGGAGCAUGUGAACAGACAACAGACAGGCUCGAACAGACGCUGAGCUGCAAGCAGACAUCACAGCACCGACAGACGGGGAAGCGCUGCAAACUGGGAGAGUCGUGUUAUGGGAUCUUCAGGGUGUCGUUUUUCUGGCCAAAACCUCUGUGGCUGGGGGGCCUUUGCCCGAGUUUUGCUCAGGCUUGCUGGGCUCAUUUCACCCACUUGGGCUGGCAGGCUGCCCUCGGCUCACACUACAGGCCUGGGUCCCAUGCCUGCCAAGGGCAAGUCAGGCAUGGAAUGGUGAGGCGUGUGUGAGCGCGUAGGGUCUGGCCAUGGUGCACAGUCAGACAUGCCAGCUGCUUCAGCCGGGCGAGCAGCUCUAGGUGCUGGCUCCCUGUGAGGCAUCAGCCAGACCAAGCACACAGCAAGCAGCUUCUACAGCAUGGCACUGGGGAACACGGUGGUGCCCAAAAGUUUAGAGACACCAGGAACCACAGGGCCCCAAAGAGGGAAUCACAGCCCUGGCUUGGGGAGCUCCCAGGUCUGGGUUCCCCAAAGGGCCGCAGCUCCUCUCUCCUUCGCUUUACCUGUAAUGUGGCAAGCAAAGGGCACAUCUCAGCCCUGUUUGUGCUACAGCUCUUUUAGCCUUGCCAUUUGGCAGGUCCCGAGUUCUUGUUCUGCAUCCAAGAACGAGGUAUGCAGACAAGUGGAGAGUGAGCAAGAUGAAGAGAAGCUUUAUUGAGUGAUAGAUAGAACAGCUUUGAGGAAACCCACAGGGGGGCAGCUCCUUUCUGCAGCCAGGGUGUCCCAACAUCUGUUCAGCUCCGAGCAGAAAGGGUAGCUCCUCUGUUAGGCAAGUCAUCCCAACAGGUGUUCAGCUAUCAGCAGAGAGGGUAGCUCUUCUCUGCAUCUGGUCAUCCCAUCAUCUCCCUGUCAUCGCUCCAUCAUCUCGGCAGCUCUCAGCAAAGAGGGGGUCCUGGAGUAGGUUGCUCCUGUCUGCAGGUGGUCGUCCCAACAUUUGCUCAGCUCUGGCUGAGCCUGGGGCUUUUAUGGGCCUCAAUGGGGAGGAAGUGCAUGCUGUGCCAGUUGGUCCAAGGGAGGCCAUGGGCAGGCCUGAAAAAGGCACCGUAAGUUCCCCACUCCAGUUCACAGGACUGGCAGCCUUGCCCCCAGCCUUCAAGCCCUUCCUGGCCUGAAGAGGGCGCCUCACCAAGGAGCUGCCCCCUUCCACCCAGGAACCUGUCUGCCUCCUGCUGCCAUUCAUGGUGCCAAGGGUGCCUUCAGGCCAGCACCAAGCUGCCCCCUGUCCCCACUUGGCUUUCCUCCUACGCUUAUCAGUGCCCAAAGUCCAGAGGGGGCCGAGGUGGCAAGGGGCUGGCAUGUCAGCAUUGCCCCAAGUGUGUGCACACCCAGUCAGGCUGUGACAGCACCUGAACUCAGCUCCAACUUUGCUCCAAAGAUGGCCUGCUUCUGCCAUCAGCAGGACCAAUCAGUCCCCUACCCACCAGAGGCAAGGAAUUAGCUGACACCGCUGUGCCAGGCCUGUGAGGCCGCAGGGCCAUGAGCCCAGGUUGGAUUCCGUGCAGAGACUCUGCCAUGUGGGGCCAUAGGGUUUACUUGGAUCCCAUUCAAAUCAUUCAGGCCCUGACUGCUCAGCUUCAGGGAAGCCAGGCCCACUCCUUCUCCUUACAUACUUGCCUAAUCUUGCCAAAGCCCUCGAGGUAGGGGAAGGAGGAAACCCAGGGUCAUGGAUGUCAAUCUCUUCAGCAUCCAUCUCCUUCCUCAUUCCUGACAGUUCAGGUCUCCUUGCCUCUUCCCAUAGCCAUGAUGAUGGGAGGGCGGGGAUGGGGACUAGGGAUUGGCCUCGGUAGACAGAAGCCAAAGGGGACAUGCCAUUCCCUGCCAGUCACUAGUCUGGGUGGGCCUGUGACCUCAGCAGUCCACACAGGGUGGGUCCCAGGGCUCUGCUGAGAGGGCCAGGAGCAACAGCAUCCCCUGGUGGGGCCCCGAUAAGCAGUGUGUGGCCCUGGCUGCUACGGUGGCACCCCAUGGCCACAGAGAUGCCAGAGAACCAACACCCUCCUAGGUGCUGGGGCCUCUUGUUUGCUGCCGAAAGCAUCUGGGCCGAUUCAAACGACCCCCUCCAAUCUUGGAGAAACAGACCUUGGCAAAGGGAGCAGGAAGAAUCGCUGAAGAGUGGUGGUAACAGAUACAUUCCUGAAAGCUCAGGCAGGGCAGGUUUCCAGAAGGGAUGACUGAAAAGUACCAAUGCUUACAAAACCCACCAGCAAGAGUGACAGCAGGAGCCAGGCGAAAGAUGAUGUCAACUAAAAGCACAGGCUGUCGGCAAGAGACUGCCGUGCCCAGUGACUUCACCCUAGUGCUGUGAGUUUCACUAAGCUCAGAACUACUGUCUUGGUCCAAGCCCAAGUUCAUAUUUGUGCUAUUUGUUUAAAAAUGUAAAAAAGGAUGUGAGCAAAUGUCUAGCAAAAACAGCAGUGCAAGAAGACAUGCCACUCACCUAAGACAACACAUGGCUUCGAAGGCUUGGCAGGUGCCCUCACAGGGACACAGAUGCAGCUAAUUACCAGCCACUGUUAAAGUCCUGAAGACUGCAUUUGAGGAACGCUGGUGUCUUCUCAGGCUGCAGCUAGCAAGGAUGUGCACAUGACUCAGGACGGCUCCAUCAAAGCUUUGGGAAGCUGUCGGAGGGAAGUCUGAACUGGCAGAGAACGACUCAAAGGCCUCAGAGAGCCUGAGUGGGCAGCUCCUGCCCGCAGUGCCACACCUGGGCACAGCCCUCUCCGCUGGCUCACACCCAGGUGGCAUCAGCAUCGGGUGAAGAGGCCCGGGUCGGCCCACUCCCUUCCAAGCUCCCCCAAACUUUGCUUCUUAUGGAUCUAACACCCCUGCUCAGUGACUGGAUCCAGAGCUGGCAUCACUAGCGGGCAGCGUGGGUCCACAGGAGGCCCCAGGAAGGCUGGUGCAGGGCUGACAUGGCCCAGCGCAUGCCUGGCACACGAUGGGCACGGCCCAUGCCAAGGCCCCACGUGACAUGACAGAGAAGCGGCCACAGAGUCCCGCCUCGGGCACUAAGCCAGUUUAACAACAACCAGAAAAGUGGCUUCAGACAGUGGCAACGUUUAUUUUGCUCACACAUCUGUAUCUGGAGCGGGGCUCACGGGCAGCUCUGCUCUGCUCAUCAGCUGGGGUGGCUUGAGGUGCCUGUAGGCUCACCUGUGUGUAGCUGGUGGUCAGCGUGGGCUCGCAGACAGACACCUGCAUGGCCUGUCCCCACGGCCUGGGCUUCCUUCCAACAUGGCACCCGGGCCAAGCCUGAGCCCCCUCAACCUGUCAGUCACAUGGCAGCUACCUCCCCAGCAGGCCACAGAGACCUCCCCAGGAUCAAGAGCGGGGGACUCCCUGGAUGGGCAAAAUUCCAGAGGAGCACAGGGGACUGGAGAUGUCAUUCCUGCCAUCAGACCCUGGACACCGCCUGAGAGAAUCCUUCCGUACAGAGAAUCAGGAAUCAGAACGGCUUUACGUUGCUCAAGGUAAAAGGCAGUGCCUUCAACUCGGAGUGAAAACCAUUUCCAAACCCCAAUGUUCCCCCUUCCUCAUUCCCAUUUCUGUUGAACUCUGUGCACAGAGCUCCGUGUGCACUCUGGAGCGCAGGGCAAAGGCCUCCCUGCCCGCCCCGAUUGGUAGCUGCCAGAGGGCAGGAAAGGAGAAAACAGUGAGGGGACAGGGAACCUGCAGCCCCUUCCCUCCUCCCACCAGGUAAAGAGCUGCCCCUUCCCUCCUCCCACCAGGUAAAGAGCUGCCCCUUCCCUCCUCCCACCAGGUAAAGAGUUGCCCCUUCCCUCCUUCCACCAGGUAAAGAGCCACCGGGGAGAGGCAGGAAACGUUUUGAACUCAAGGUCCGCCCUGGCUCAGACACUCUCCCACCCAAGCCACUGUCCAGAGAUAAGGCAGAGUUUGGCAGCAGAGGCAGGAGUGGGCAUGAGCCCUGUACCCCAAGGGUCUAGGACCCACCUGCGACGGUGGAGCCAGGAGCAGGCAGCAGCAGCCCUCUGCGAGGGAGGGCAGGAACAGACACCAAGCACUGCGCAGCAUCCAAGGCCUGCUGGCACCUAAGGAGGGGCAGGGUCACUCUGGCACCCACACCAUGCACAGGUUGGCCGUGGCCACUGCUGGAAGAAUCGGAAGCCUGUGGUGCCCGCAGGGACAAAGGCAGCCCCAAGCCCACAGCCAGCUCAUCUGGUGACCACACCCACCCAGGGCCUGUCCGAAGGGGAGUGCCUGUUUCUGGGCAUGAGGACUAUUCAUCUUGGUCUCCACUGUUCUACAAAAAGACCCCCGGCAUUCAGUAAACUAUGAGAUAAACACCAGACAAUCCACGGCCACGAAAUAAAGCUACUGACAGAAGCAGACCCAAGAAUGUGGCGCCAACUGUCACACAGCCACACCCCCACGACACGCCCAGCAGCGCAUCCCGUUUCCCUCCAUGUGGGUGUCCACGCUGCUUCUGUAACCCCUGCUGCCACAGGCGAGGCUGCAGUGAGCGUCUCUGCGCAAGUCUGUGCCACCCAUGAUGUUUCGGCCAACAACGGACCUAGCAGACCAAGGAGGUCCCGUGAGGUUACAGCGGAGUAGAGAAGUCCCUGUCAUCAGAACGUGGACACAGUGUAUCUUCCGUGUCUGGUGCUGCCAGCACACAUAAGUACACAAAGUAACAUCCUAGGCUUCCAUGCUCACUCAUACUCCCUGAGGCACUGACAGCUCCUGCCAAUGAAUGAACAAAGUAAGGAAUUGAAGAAAAGAUUCUUGGACACGUGAAUGGACCUGAACAGUCCGAUGCAGUGUGGUCCUGGUUUCCCAAUAUGCAGGGGUCACUACAGACCCUGCAUGUCACCAGAAAACAUGAAAACACUCUCAAUGUUUUACCUAAAAUGGAAAAGCAGCUUUUGGUGACAUGAGCUUUAUAAAAUAAAACAUUCAUAAAGCAAGUUUCUAUUUUUAAUUUUUUUGCUUUGAUAAAUCAAUUGCUUCACAAAAAUCCUUUUUAAAGACAACAAUCCAAGAAAACAUAUUGUUACAGUAUUCACAUUUCAAAGAUUGUCAGUUUGAAAGACCGAACAUAACUAGAACGAAAGAAGAUUGCUGAGUUCUUUCUAAGUGCCAGGAAUGGGCUUUCGCAGGGGGCAGAACCCCAGCUGGGCACCCUGCUUCCUCACACAGGCAGGAGACGGAUCACUCUCAGGUCACACAGACACAACUCCCGCAGCCCUUAGCCGUGAGGGUUUCCUUUGCCUACUGGAUAAACACUUCCACUCAUCUUACUAUCUGGAAUCAAAGCACAAAGGCCAAGCUAGUCCCUCAGCAGGAGCGUGCAGGAACCCAGCACAGCCAGCCCUGCCACUCCUGCUCAACAGGUGCAGGGCAGCAACAACAGCAACAUGCUCAAUUUGGGUCUCAAGACACAUUCAAAGGGAGCCUUCAUAGGGAAAAAUUCAACAAAAAUAAAACUGGGAUCAAAUCUGAUCAUUUAAAAUGAAAUCUUAAAAGGGUCACACUUUUGCAGAUUCUUUCCACUGUCCGAGGGCUGGGGAACAGGUGUUUUAAGGUGCCAACUGACCUCAAACAUGCUGGGCAGUGAUUUUACAAACUGAAACGGCUUGCUGUGUAGAAGCUAGUUAAAAGCACCCAGUGGAGACAGGUUAAAGGAAACUCACGCUAUGUCCAUAAGCACCUUCUCUCUAAAUGAUCUUUAUCCUAUUCCCCUGAAUUUAGUAGGAAUUUAGGAAAGUGGAAGAAAGUUUUCAGCUGGAGAGAAUGCACGCUGUACCAUUCAGCAUGGGUGUUUAACUCUCAGGCCAGAGCUUCCCUGUGCCACUGAGGUUCACGCAGUGCCCUCUUUUUAUAGAUGGGGUCUCACUGUGUUGCCCAAGAUGGAGUGCAGUGGCUAUUCACAGGUGCAAGCACAGUGCACUGCAGCCUCAAACUCCUGGCACAUGCCAUCCUCUGCCUCAGACUCCCGAGUAGCUGGAACGAGAGGCACGUUCUACUGCGCUGGGCAAGGGCAGUGCUCUUAAAUUCCAUCUACUGCUCAGUGAAUGUGAUUUCUAGUGGGGGAAAGAAACAGUGAGUCUACAUUCUGUGAAUGGCUUCCACUAAUCUACACUAAAGAGCAGGCAGCCCAAGAGACGGAGGGUGGUGAGGGGAGGAGGAAGGGCUGGCUGGCUUUCACGGGUGCUUAUUUUAAGAAGUCCAACAAAGUUGGAACUUAGGUUAAAAUGAUCUUGUAGACUUGACUUAAAAUAUGAGAAAACAUUUCACAAACAAGGAAUGCAACGGUGCCUUCAUUCUUGGCCGGGCACGGUGGCUCACACCUGUAAUCCCAGCACUUUGGGAGGCCGAGGCAGGUGGAUCACCUGAGGUUGGGAGUUUAAGACCAGACUGACCAACAUGGAGAAACCCAUCUCUACUAAAAAUACAAAAUUAGCCAGGCGUGGUGGUGCAUGUCUGUAAUCCUAGCAACUCGGGAGGCUGAAGAAGGAGAAUCGUUUGAACCAGGGAGGUAGAGGUUGCAGUGAGCUGAGAUCGCACCAUUGCACUCCAGCCUGGGCAACAAGAGCAAAACUCUGUCUCAAAAAAAAAAAUGUCAUUCUCUCCCCAAAAGAGCUGAUAAUCAAGUCUUUCAGUUAAAGCUCCUGAAAGAUUUUAAAAUACAUUUCUGUAUGUUUCCCACUGACUUCUAAGUUAUCUAGAAGUACUCCCCUACGAUUAACUUCAAUUAAUAUAUUCUUUUGGGAAAAAU